GGUUGAAGUUCCCCUUUCUGAACCCACUGGGGCAUGGCCUUGCCCUCAUGGCUUUGAGGAGCCCCAUUCCCAUGGCAGUUCUCUUAAUGGGGCUUUGAGCAGGCCCCAUCUCCAUGGUGGCUCCUUGCCUGGGUCUUGAACCUGCAGCUCUCCCCAGAUAUAAUCAUAUGCCAGUGGCUCUAACUGUUGGUCUCAAUGUGGCCAUGCCCCCCAUGGCUCCACUGGGAAUUGCCCUAGUGUGGGUUCCCUGCAGUGGCCCCACCUCAUGGCUGCUUUCUGCCUGGGCUCCAGGCUCUCCAGGUCAUCCUUUGAAAUUUAGGUAGAGGGAGCCAGACCCUUAUAGCUCUGCUGGGUGUAGUGCAUAUUGAAUCAGGGCCACGAGAGCCACACCUGGGGCAGUGGAGGAGCAUGGUGACAAAGUGCAGGAAGCAGAACCUUGAGGCAGGGCUGGGCAGAGGGUGCCAAGGUCCCAGGGGUGCCAAUCACCCCUCCUUUGAAAUCAUUCUCUCCCCCAGGUCCUUGCACUUGGGCCUGUGAGUGGCAGCCCCAAUCUGAAAUGCCUUCAGGGUCAUUCUUCUAUUGUCUUGAUGAGUAACACCUGGCCAAUCCAUACUAAUUUCCUUAUCAAAGGGUCAUUUGGCCACACCCUUGGUGUUAGCUCCCAACACAUUUCUCACUUUUUACAGUAUACACAGGCUGAGAAUUUUCCAAAUCUUUAAGUUCUGCUUCCUUAUUGAUUAAAAAUCCAUCCUUUAUUCAUUUCCCCUUUCUCACGUUUUACUAUAAACAUUCAAGAGAAUCUAAGCCAGACCUUCAACACUUUGUUUAGAAGUUUAUUCAACCAAAUAUGCCAUUUCAUUACUCAUAAGUUCUACCUUCCACAAAAACACUAGGCCAAUAAUAUAAUUCAGACAAGUUAUUUGCCACUUUAUGACAAGGAUCACCUUUCUUCCAGUUUCCAAUAGCGUAUUCCUCAUCUCCAUCUGAGACCUUAUCAGAAUAGCCUUUACCAUUCUGUUCAUGAUCAUGUAGGUAUUCUCUAAGAAGAUUCAGCCUUUCUCUACAGCUCUUCUGAGCCCUCACCAGAAUUACCCUUUAUGGUCCAUUCAUGCCAACAUAGGCUUUUUCUAGCGUGAAUCUCACUUCCAGCCUCUAUCAGCCAGGUCCAAGAGCUACUUCAACAUUUUUAGGUAUUUGUUAUAAAAGCACCCCACUUCUUGGUACCAAUUUUGUUGUAGUCCAUUCAGGCUACUAUAAAAAUUACUGUAUACUAGGUAGCUAACAAGCAACAGAAAUUUAUUUCUCACAGUUCUGGAGACUGGAAAGUCUGAAAUUAAGGUGCUGGCAGAUUUGAUGUCUGGUGGGACUCAUUUCCUGGUUCAUAGAUGGAGCCUUGUUGCUUUGUCCUUACCUUCCAAAGGCCCCAGCUCCUAACAGCAUGGCAUUAGUGACUAGAUUUCAACAUAGGAAUUUUAGGGAAACACAAACUUUGAUACCAGAGUGCAAUGGAAUUUUUUGUGUGACAAAAGAUACCAUAAGCAAAGUCAAGAGACUCACCAAAAACUUGAACAAGAUAUUUGUAACAAGUAUGACCAGUAAAGGAUUACUAUCAAGAAUAUAUAUGUGUUCUAUAAAUCACUGAGGAAAAUAAAAGCAAGCCAGGAAAAAAAUGGACAAAUGUUAAUCAUAUCCAACUCAUAGAAUAGAAAUCUGAAUGGAAACUCUAUUAGUAUUCAGGGAAAAUGAAAUUAAAAAAUGAAAUACCAUUCAAAGGGUUAGUGAAUAUGUAGAGAAAAUGAAACUGUGGAAUAUAUUGUUGGUUGGAAAGUAAGUUGGUACAAAUACUUUGGAGGUCAAAUUGGCAGUAUCUAAAAGCUUUGUAUAUUUGCUACCCUAAUUGUAUAUAUACACUUGUGAAAUUCUUGCUCAUGUAUACAAGCAAACAUGUUUAGACAAAUUCAUUGCUGUGUUUAUAUUGGUGAAAAAUUGGAAAGAACAUUAAUGUUCAUCAUGC
rnacentral:lncRNA from 1 species